rnacentral:rRNA from 1 species
UACGAAGGGGGCUAGCGUUGUUCGGAAUUACUGGGCGUAAAGCGUGCGCAGGCGGCUUCUCAAGUCAGGGGUGAAAGCCCAGAGCUCAACUCUGGAAUUGCCUUUGAGACUGAGUGGCUUGAGUACGAGAGAGGUGAGUGGAAUUCCCAGUGUAGAGGUGAAAUUCGUAGAUAUUGGGAAGAACACCGGUGGCGAAGGCGGCUCACUGGCUCGUAACUGACGAUCAUGCACGACAGCGUGGGGAUCAAACAGG